rnacentral:rRNA from 1 species
GAUGAACGCUAGCUACAGGCUUAACACAUGCAAGUCGAGGGGUAACGAGAGGAAAGCUUGCUUUCCUUGUCGACGACCGGCGCACGGGUGAGUAACGCGUAUCCAUCCUGCCCCCAACUAGGGAAUAACCUUGCGAAAGUAAGACUAAUACCCUAUAAUUUCCUCAGAUGUCACCUGACGAGGAAUAAAGAUUUAUCGGUUGUGGAUGGGGAUGCGUCAUGAUUAGCUUGUUGGCGGGGUAACGGCCCACCAAGGCAACGAUCAGUAGGGGUUUGGGGAGGAAGGUCCCCCACAUUGGAACUGAGACACGGUCCAAACUCCUACGGGAGGAGGAAGUGAGGAAUAUUGGUCAAUGUGCGGAAGCCUGAACCAGCCAAGUAGCGUGCAGGAUGACGGCCCUAUGGGUUGUAAACUGCUUUUAUACAGGAAUAAAGUUAGUCACGUGUGGUUAUUUGUAGGUACUGUAUGAAUAAGGACCGGCUAAUUCCGUGCCAGCCGCCGCCGUAA